AAAGCCCGGGAGCGCGCAGACUUGGCUGUGCGCUCGCCCGGUUCGGCCCGGCUACCUGGGGUUACUGGAGUUCCAGUAGACUACGUGGCGGAGGCUGGAGCCCCCGCGCAGAGGGGAGCCGAGGAACGCGGCCCAGAGGACAGUCCGCAGCAGGGGCAGCAGCCGCAUCGCCCCCGAGGUCCGGUUUGGUCUGGCCUGGCAGGUCCCGGCCCGCUUCACAGUCGAGGAGAGAAAGGUGAGAAAACUGAUGCUUGGAGAUGUGAUCACUGCCCAGGGUCACCCAAUGAUAACAUGCAUGCAUAUGGAACUUGCUGCAUGCCAGCACCAUCUUUGCGGAGUGGCAGCAGAGUCCGUUUGCCCUGGAAAACAAAUGUCCACACAGUUAGGAAGCCCAAGGGCCCUCUGCCCUUUCCUCUCUGCCUUCCUGGAGCAUGAACCCACACAGGGCACACAGCAGCAAGGCAUCCCCGGGCAGUGCCGUGCCCACUCACCAGCUUCUUCCUGCGGUCAUCGAUCUGGCAGAAGUUCUCCUCAUCUAUCCCCAAACAUGGGCUUCCUUGAGGCACAGUCAUUCAACCAACCAGCCAGCAUUCAUUGAGCACCAUCUAUGUCCUGGGCACUGCUAGGGGAUGGUGAUAACAGGGAGAAGACUCUGUCCCUGCCUUCCAAUUGUGUAGAGGAAGACAUCCCCCUACAUGAUGGGUGAGACAUAGCAGAAGUGAGUAGGGGAUGAGGUGGGGGCUCAGAGGAGGGCAUGGUCAGCCUGUCUGGGAGGGAGUUGCAUGUGUGCAUCUGAGGUAGGGACAGGCAUGCAUCUUACAGGAUGAAUAUCGAGCAGAGUUACAGAGAGGGGGAAACUCCUUGAGGUUUCAGGAAUCACCUAAUCCACUGUGACUCACAAAUUCCUGCCUCUUGGCUUUGCCUGCAGCAUAUCUCCUGGAAGUGUGCUGGGGCAAAACUCAUCCCAGACCACCAUCUCCAUCCUCCCCCAAUACACCCUGGCUCUCCCUGGCUACCCUUGAGCACGGUGCACGUGUGCAUGGGUGCAUGCCUGCAUAUAUAGCUAUCCCCCAUGUAUUUCCCAAAGCCCUACAUAAUGCUUCAGUUUGCUAAGGAAAAAAUGUUAAUUACUGCAAAUGUGUUUAAAACUGUAAAAGUACAUUAAACAAACUCUGUAAAGUGUGAAAAAAAAAAAAAAAAAA
rnacentral:lncRNA from 1 species